rnacentral:rRNA from 1 species
GACGAACGCUGGCGGCGUGCUUAACACAUGCAAGUCGAACGGAAAGGCCCUGCUUUUGUGGGGUGCUCGAGUGGCGAACGGGUGAGUAACACGUGAGUAACCUGCCCUUGACUUUGGGAUAACUUCAGGAAACUGGGGCUAAUACCGGAUAGGAGCUCCUGCUGCAUGGUGGGGGUUGGAAAGUUUCGGCGGUUGGGGAUGGACUCGCGGCUUAUCAGCUUGUUGGUGGGGUAGUGGCUUACCAAGGCUUUGACGGGUAGCCGGCCUGAGAGGGUGACCGGCCACAUUGGGACUGAGAUACGGCCCAGACUCCUACGGGAGGCAGCAGUGGGGAAUAUUGCACAAUGGGCGGAAGCCUGAUGCAGCAACGCCGCGUGCGGGAUGACGGCCUUCGGGUUGUAAACCGCUUUCGCCUGUGACGAAGCGUGAGUGACGGUAAUGGGUAAAGAAGCACCGGCUAACUACGUGCCAGCAGCCGCGGUGAUACGUAGGGUGCGAGCGUUGUCCGGAUUUAUUGGGCGUAAAGGGCUCGUAGGUGGUUGAUCGCGUCGGAAGUGUAAUCUUGGGGCUUAACCCUGAGCGUGCUUUCGAUACGGGUUGACUUGAGGAAGGUAGGGGAGAAUGGAAUUCCUGGUGGAGCGGUGGAAUGCGCAGAUAUCAGGAGGAACACCAGUGGCGAAGGCGGUUCUCUGGGCCUUUCCUGACGCUGAGGAGCGAAAGCGUGGGGAGCGAACAGGCUUAGAUACCCUGGUAGUCCACGCUGUAAACGGUGGGUACUAGGUGUGGGGUCCAUUCCACGGGUUCCGUGCCGUAGCUAACGCUUUAAGUACCCCGCCUGGGGAGUACGGCCGCAAGGCUAAAACUCAAAGGAAUUGACGGGGCCCCGCACAAGCGGCGGAGCAUGCGGAUUAAUUCGAUGCAACGCGUAGAACCUUACCUGGGUUUGACAUGGAUCGGGAGUGCUCAGAGAUGGGUGUGCCUCUUUUGGGGUCGGUUCACAGGUGGUGCAUGGCUGUCGUCAGCUCGUGUCGUGAGAUGUUGGGUUAAGUCCCGCAACGAGCGCAACCCUUGUUCACUGUUGCCAGCACGUUAUGGUGGGGACUCAGUGGAGACCGCCGGGGUCAACUCGGAGGAAGGUGGGGAUGACGUCAAGUCAUCAUGCCCCUUAUGUCCAGGGCUUCACGCAUGCUACAAUGGCUGGUACAGAGAGUGGCGAGCCUGUGAGGAUGAGCGAAUCUCGGAAAGCCGGUCUCAGUUCGGAUUGGGGUCUGCAACUCGACCUCAUGAAGUCGGAGUCGCUAGUAAUCGCAGAUCAGCAACGCUGCGGUGAAUACGUUCCCGGG